GUGUCAGCCGCCGCGGUAAUACGAAGGGGGCUAGCGUUGUUCGGAAUUACUGGGCGUAAAGCGCGCGCAGGCGGUCUUCCAAGUCAGUGGUGAAAGCCCGGAGCUCAACUCCGGAACUGCCAUUGAAACUGUUAGACUUGAGUAUGAGAGAGGUGAGUGGAAUUCCCAGUGUAGAGGUGAAAUUCGUAGAUAUUGGGAAGAACACCGGUGGCGAAGGCGGCUCACUGGCUCAUUACUGACGCUCAGGCGCGACAGCGUGGGGAUCAAACAGGAUUAGAAACCCUAGUAGUCC
rnacentral:rRNA from 1 species